rnacentral:rRNA from 1 species
AACAAACGCUGGCGGCGUGCCUAAUACAUGCAAGUCGAACGGGGAAAGCUUUCGGGUGAGUACUAGUGGCGCACGGGUGAGUAAUACGUAGGUGAUCUGCCUUAGAGUGGGGGAUAACCUUCCGAAAGGAAGGCUAAUACCGCAUAAGACCACGGGGGCUGCGGCUCUUGAGGUAAAAGGUUUUUCGCUCUAAGAUGAGCCUGCGCGAGAUUAGCUAGUUGGUGAGGUAACGGCUCACCAAGGCGACGAUCUCUAACUGGUCUGAGAGGAUGAUCAGUCACACUGGAACUGAGACACGGUCCAGAAUCCUACGGGAGGCAGCAGUAGGGAAUAUUGCACAAUGGAGGAAACUCUGAUGCAGCGACGCCGCGUGAGUGAUGAAGGACUUCGGUUCGUAAAGCUCUGUCGUAUGGGAAUAAGCAAGUGAAUGUACCAUGCAAGAAAGGAUCGGCUAACUUCGUGCCAGCCGCCGCCGUAA